ensembl:lncRNA
UUCCCAUGGUAGCAUUUAGCCAUUCCAUUAUCCCCCCAACCCUGUUCCCUGGGCCAGUGUCAGCCCCAGGCGCUGUGCUGAGGAGGGCAGGUUGUGUAGAAAGGGGCAGGCUCCCCCUGGAGAUCCCCACCCAGGGAUCCCCGGGCAACACUCCUCCAAGGACUUUUCUUCUCUAGGAACUCGCUUCUGUCAGCCUCUCUUGUCUGUCCACUGGCCCCUAAGCCUUCCAUCUACAAGUUCAGUUUCUAAGUCAACAGGACCCCCAGACAGGCCUCCGGUCCCCUUGGGGGAACUGUCAGGAUCUGUGUGUGUGUGUGUUGCAAGCAAGCUCAUUGCAUGGACCUGGCACAGGCGGGAUCCAGCUCCCUUCCAGGGCCACGUGACCCUGGCAGCAUUACUCACUUGGGUGCCCUCCAGCAGGGGCAGCUGGGGACACCUCCCUAGAGUGACUACAGCGUUUAUCACGGGGAUGACUCAGCCCGCCCGAGCCUCUCUCUCCCUGAAAAGGGAAUCUGAGGCCAGGGCCGGGGUGAGAGUGUCCAUUAGACCAUCUAUAGCCUCGGGAGCCCGGAAACUCCCCUCACCUGGGAAGCACGCAGGACGGACGGACGGGAUGAGUAAAGCUCAGGCAUCCUGGGCCCAGCUGAGAUUUCCCGCUUCUUGUCAAAGGGAAGAAGUGGAACUCUUAGGGAAAAUAUCCCUGCUGUCGGGUGAGCGCCAGGGGCUGUAA